UUUUCUUUAUCGCUUUUCUUUGCUGUUUUUUUAGUUUGUUUAUUUUUAUUUCCUUUUAGUUAUUUAUUUUACUUUCAGUUUAAGUGUCUUAGAUAAUGCAUGAGUCUAACGAGUCACCAAAUAUAGUGUAUCUUUAGUACAAUCUAAUCUCCCCAUACCUUUAGCCCCACCGAAUUUUUUUUGCAAAAGAAAACAGUGUUAUUCCGAAAGUUUU
rnacentral:lncRNA from 1 species